rnacentral:tRNA from 1 species
GCUGGUGUAGCUCAGUUGGUAGAGCAGUUGAUUUGUAAUCAUCAGGUCGGGAGUUCGAGCCUCUCCUCCAGCACCA